rnacentral:rRNA from 1 species
AUGCACGCUAGCUACAGGCUUAACACAUGCCAGUCGCGGGGCAGCAUGGGGGUUGCUUGCAAUCCCCGAUGGCGACCGGCGCACGGGUGAGUAACGCGUAUCCAACCUGCCCUUCACCACGGGAUAACCCGGCGAAAGUCGGACUAAUACCGUAUGUUGUCCAUUGACGGCAUCCGAUUUGGACGAAAGGUUUGGCGGUGAAGGAUGGGGAUGCGUCCGAUUAGCUGGACGGCGGGGUGACGGCCCACCGUGGCGACGAUCGGUAGGGGUUCUGAGAGGAAGGUCCCCCACACUGGAACUGAGACACGGUCCAGACUCCUACGGGAGGCAGCAGUGAGGAAUAUUGGUCAAUGGGCGUAAGCCUGAACCAGCCAAGUAGCGUGCAGGAUGACGGCCCUAUGGGUUGUAAACUGCUUUUAUGCGGGGAUAAAGUGGCCCACGUGUGGGUUUUUGCAGGUACCGCAUGAAUAAGGACCGGCUAAUUCCGUG